rnacentral:rRNA from 1 species
CCAAAGGUGAUUCCGUGGGGAGGGCUAUGUCCUUAGCUUGGGUGAGGUCGGCUCACAGGCCAAGGGGUACGACGUGAGAGUGUCCUCGCACUGGGAGAGACACUCCAGACACACGGGUGGGCAGUCGAAUCUUCGGAUGGGCGCGCCUGACCGCGACGCCGUGUGGGAAAGGCCUUGGUUGUAACACUGUCAGCGGAGGAUGUAGUGGUUCUCCCCUAUUCGACAUGCGCAGGAAGGACGCUAAGUUCGCCAGCAGGCGGUAAGGAACCGUCAACGUUAUGGAAUUACGGCUUAAAGUGCGUAGGGUCCGGUGUUGGGUGAAAGACCUGCCUAACCGGAAUGGCCCAAAACUCGGACUCGCAAGGCAGGUGAACGGAACUUAUGGUGGAGCGGUGAAAUGCGUUGAUA